GGGAUUACAGGCGGCCACCACCACGCCCGCCUAAUUUAUGUAUUUUUAGUAGAGUUGGGGGUUUCACCACGUUGGUCAGGCUGGUCCCGAACUCCUGACCUCAGGUGAUCCGCUGGCCUCCGCCUUCUAAAAUGUUGGAAUUACAGUCGUGAGCCACUGCGCACGGCCUAUUUAUUUAUUUAUUUAUUUAUUUAUGUUUUUGAGACAGUGUCUUGCUCUGUCACCCAGGCUGGAGUACAGUGGCGUGAUCAUGGCUCACUGCAACCUCGAACUCCGGGGUGCGCCGAUUCUCUGACUCUCCUGAGUAGCUGGGGCUACAGGUGCACACCACCAUACCUGGCAAAUUUUAAAAUUUUUAGUGGAGAUGGAUCUCACUGCGUUGCCUAGGCUGGUCUUAAACUCCUGGGCUUAAGUGAUCCUCCUACUUUGGCCUUCCAAAAUGCUUGGAUUUUGGAUUACAGACGUGAGCCACUGUAUGCUGCCGAAUUGCCUCUUAUAGACCUUCCAAUUUCCACCUGAACACUUCUAGAGGCAGCGAGGUCAGGACAGAAAUUCACCAAGCACGGAGUACAUGACUGGACCUCUCUCUGGUCAGUAGCGUUUCUCCUUAGCAGGUGCCAUGAGUAAUCUCCCUGCCUGGAGUCCUCCUCCCUUAGGCUUAUGGUAGAACAUAAACUAUCUCGGGUCUUUCCUGCAGCUUGCCCCAGACGUUUUUAAGAACAGAAUCACAGGCCUGCACUGGCACUAAGUAAAGAGAGACUAUUAUGGCUCUCGAUUUGGGCUGUUUCCUAUUACUUCCCCACCCCUCUUCAUCUUGCCUGCAAAUAUAGUGUCCUAGUUGCUAGGUUCGGGUACUUUAGAAGUUCUUAUUCUCCCUCCCAACAACCCUAGGAGGUGAAUAUUACUUUUACUGAUGAAGAAAUUAAGGCUCAGAGAGGUGGAGUAACAACCAAACACACAGCUAGAAAGGGACAGAGCCAGGAUUCAAACCCAAUCUGUUGACUCCAGGAUGAAGCUUUCUCCCCUAAGUUUAUAUAAAACAAAGCAGCCCUUUCCACCUUACUGUGGGCCUCUCAAACAAAUAUCAUAAGAUUCUGCCAAACAAUUUGCUGAAAUCCAGAUAUGUUGUCUACUACGUUUCUCUGGUCCCCAUCCAAGUGGCAG
rnacentral:lncRNA from 10 species